CGUAGUUGAACCCUGCGGAAGGAAUCAUUA
rnacentral:rRNA from 1 species